UUUGCUUUGAAUAUGAGGAACUUUGAAUUGUUCUAGCCUUACAUUUGAUAUAUCUCCUGUUUAGACGUAACGAUUCAAAUCUGUGUAACUUCUGAGAUUCUGACCUUUCUACCUUGUUAUGGUUAUAACUUCAUGUAUUGAUCUCUGAUUUAGACAAAACUUAUUUGAUCAGAAUAUAGACUCAUAAACCUUUCUUUUGAUAGCUUAUUUUAGGAAUUCAGAGUAAGUUUGCCUGCCCAGUUUUCUGUUGAAACCGACCUUGUGAAUUCUGUAAAAUUGAGAUUUGUUCUUUGAUCUUGGGUUACUAAAUCUAUGGUAACUCCUUGUUGGAAACCUUGAUUCGUACGAAAUUUAUUUCAUCAGAAACUAGAUAGAAAUAUCUUUCCAAUGAUAUAUUUUCUAAGUAAAAUUGGAG
rnacentral:lncRNA from 1 species